UCAAUAUGAAUUGAAUAGUAUUUAUUUAUUAAUUUUUUUUUUAAAAAAUUUUAUUUAUUAAAAAUAUUUAUAUAAAUUUAUGUUUUAGUAUUAUAUUAAGAAUCGAUAAUUUUAAUGAUAGUUUAUUUGUACUGUGAAGGGAUAUUGAAAUAAUUUGAAAAAUAUUUGUAAAAAAAGAAAAUUUUAUUUGUUGUACCUUGUGUAUCAGGGUGAAUUUAGUAAUUAAGUUUUAUUAAUUUAAUCUCGAUUUUAUAAGAGUUAUUGGUUUAUAAAAGUUAAUGUAUCAAAAUUAUUUUUAAUAAAUUAGUAGAAAUGAAAUGUUAUUCGUUUAUAAAGGUAUCUAGUUUUUCUAGAAAUAAAUUUAAUUUAUGUAUUUUUAAAUUUUUAUUUUAUUAUAUUAAGUAAAAAAAUUAUUAAUUCAAAUAUCUUAAGGGAUAAGCUUUAAGAUAAAUUGUUAAAAGAAAUUUAUUUUAUUAAUUAAAUGUAUACAUAUAAUUUGUAAUCAUUUAUAAGUUUGUUAUAAAUUAUUUUUUUUUAUAAAUUAUUUAUUUUUCUUUAAUUAUUUAUAGAAAUUUUAUUUUUAACUUUUUAAGAUAAGAAAUAAUGAUUCAAUUAGUAUAAAUUUUGUAUCAAUAAAUUUUAAAGGCAAGUUUAUAUAAAGAACUCGGCAAAUUAUUUAUGCCCGCCUGUUUAACAAAAACAUGUCUUUUUGAGUUAUUUUUAAAGUCUAGCCUGCCCAAUGAUUUUUUAAUGGCCGCAGUAUACUAACUGUGCAAAGGUAGCAUAAUCAUUAGUCUUUUAAUUGAAGGCUGGUAUGAAUGGCUGGACGAGGUAUAAGCUGUUUCAUAUAAAUUUAUUUUAGAAUUUUAUUUUUUAGUUAAAAAGCUAAAAUAUUAUUAAAAGACGAGAAGACCCUAUAAAUCUUUAUAUUUUUAUAUUUAUAAGUUUUAUAGAUAAAGUUUACUUUUAUAUAUAUAAAUAUUUUAUUGGGGUGAUAUUAAAAUUUGACUAACUUUUAAUUUAUAUAAACAUUAAUUUAUGUAUUUUUGAUCCGUUAUUGACGAUUAUAAGAUUAAGUUACUUUAGGGAUAACAGCGUAAUUUUUUUGGAGAGUUCAUAUCGAUAAAAAAGAUUGCGACCUCGAUGUUGGAUUAAGAUAUAAUUUUAGGUGUAGCCGCUUAAAUUUCAAGUCUGUUCGACUUUUAAAUUCUUACAUGAUCUGAGUUCAAACCGGUG
rnacentral:rRNA from 1 species